UCGGUCCCAUUUUUCAUUGGUAAAUUCAUAUGUCAAUUGAACGCAAAAAAGCCCGUACCAGAAUACUUCUCAUCAGCUUCGUCUUCGUGUUAAUUAAACAUUGGUCAACUGUAUGCCGACGUUUGGAUUAAGGCGUCUGUAUUGAUAUAAAUUAUACACGUUCCGGUGGCGUUGGGAGCAGCGGGAGUGCCGCCGGUGGUGGCUGAGUAAUACGCGAGUAUAUAUUUUGGGAAAUCAGUUGCACGGAGAGAUUUAUCAGUUAGAAUCAGAUGUUAGGGUUUCCGUUGAGUGCAAAACUGGAAAUAUGGUGAGGGUUUAGCUUGAGAAAAGCCAUUUGAUUAAUCAUACGACUGGAAAAGAGUACGCAUUGAAGCCUAUUGGUGAUGUUGGACCUCUGAUUGAAGCUGGUGGGAUUUCCACUUAAGCUCGAAAAGAUGGGAUAGCUCCCGCUUAGCAACUUAAGUGUGCUCUAUAAGCUACAUAUCCAGGCAUACAUGUACUUACAUGCAUGAAAUACUCGGAUUGUAAUCAAUGGAUAAGCUGAGGCGAGAUUCGGAUAUUAGAAGGUUCAACUUUGCCAAACCAAAACUGUUCUAAGUUUAAACUUCAAAGGUUAACUCUGUCAUCUUAUUCGCCAUGUGCGUCCAAGGGUAACUAACUAGCUCAUUUAUGCUCGCAAGCUGGCUGAUGGUGAAUGAACCUGUUUUGAGGACACACAAG
rnacentral:lncRNA from 1 species